CGUAGCGAACGGGUGAGUAACACGUGGCAAACCUACCUUUUAAAACAGGAUAAGUUAAAAUUUUAUUGAAGCGAAUACUGUAUAAUGAUACCUUGUAGGGCAAAAAGAUUUAUUUCGUUAAAAGAUGGGGCCGCGAAAGAUUAUGGUAGUUGGUAGGGUAAAAGCGUACCAAGCCUUCGAUCUUUAGCUGAUUUAGGAGGACGAUCAGUCACACUGGAACUGAGACAAGGUCCAGGCUUUUUUAGAAGCCAGCAGUAAUGAUUCUUAGGCACUGAACGAAAGUUUGACCUAGCAAUACUACAUGAAUGAUGAAAACUAAUUUGGUUGUAAAGUUCUUUCGUCAAGGAAGAUAAUGACCGUACUUGAAGAAGAAGUCCCGACUAAUCUCGUGCCAGCAGUCGCGGUAAUACGGGAGGGGCAAGCAUUAUUCGGAAUAACUGGGCGUAAAGGGUUCGUAGACGGUAAAAUCAGUUGUUAGUUAAAAUCCAGAGCAUAACUCUGACAAAGCUUUCAAUACUAUUUUACUCUGAGUUUAAUAGAGAAUAGUGGAAUUUUAUAUGGAGAGAUGAAAUUCGGAGAUAUAUAAAGGAACACCAAAGGCGAAGGCUACUAUUUGGUUUAUUAAACUGACGUUGAGGAACGAAGGGGUGGGGAGUUAAUCGGAUUAGAGACCCGAGUAAUCCACCCAGUAAAAGCUGAGUGCUU
rnacentral:rRNA from 1 species